rnacentral:tRNA from 1 species
GGAGAGAUGGCUCAGUGGUUAAGAGCACUGUCUGCUCUUCCAGAGGUCCUGAGUUCAAAUCCCAGCAACCCCA